GGGUUGUGAGGUUAAGCGACUAAGCGUACACGGUGGAUGCCCUGGCAGUCAGAGGCGAUGAAGGACGUGCUAAUCUGCGAUAAGCGCCGGUAAGGUGAUAUGAACCGUUAUAACCGGCGAUUUCCGAAUGGGGAAACCCAGUGUGAUUCGUCACACUAUCAUUAACUGAAUCCAUAGGUUAAUGAGGCGAACCGGGGGAACUGAAACAUCUAAGUACCCCGAGGAAAAGAAAUCAACCGAGAUUCCCCCAGUAGCGGCGAGCGAACGGGGAGGAGCCCAGAGCCUGAAUCAGCAUGUGUGUUAGUGGAAGCGUCUGGAAAGGCGCGCGAUACAGGGUGACAGCCCCGUACACAAAAGCGCAUGUGCUGUGAGCUCGAUGAGUAGGGCGGGACACGUGGUAUCCUGUCUGAAUAUGGGGGGACCAUCCUCCAAGGCUAAAUACUCCUGACUGACCGAUAGUGAACCAGUACCGUGAGGGAAAGGCGAAAAGAACCCCGGCGAGGGGAGUGAAAAAGAACCUGAAACCGUGUACGUACAAGCAGUGGGAGCACCCUUUGGGGUGUGACUGCGUACCUUUU
rnacentral:rRNA from 1 species